CCCUUAGAUGUUCUGGGCCGCACGCGCGCUACACUGAUGCAUUCAACGAGUCUAAAACCUGGUCUGAUAGGGCUGGGCAAUCUUUUGAAUGUGCAUCGUGAUUGGGAUAGAUGAUUGCAAUUCUUCAUCUUCAACGAGGAAUGCCUAGUAAACGCAAGUCAUCAGCUUGCAUUGAUUACGUCCCUGCCCUUUGUACACACCGCCCGUCGCUCCUACCGAUUGAAUGUUCCGAUGAAUACCAUGGACUGAGAGUAUGAAUGGGUUCGCCUAUUUCUGCUUCUCGGGAAGUGGAGUAAAUCUUAACAUUUAGAGGAAGGAGAAGUCGUAACA
rnacentral:rRNA from 1 species